ensembl:lncRNA
UUUUCUGUUUUCUUUGGGUGUGUUUUCUCUGGGAGUGUUUUCUAUUUUCUCUGGGUGUGUUGUCUCUGGGUGUGUUUUCUGUUAUCUCUGGGUGUGUUGUCUCUGGGUGUGUUUUCUCUGGGUGUGUUUUCUCUGGGUGUGUUUUCUGUUUUCUCUGGGUGUGUUUUGUUUUCUCUGGGUGUGUUUUCUAAGUGUGUUUUCUGUGUUCCGGAGUGUUUUCUCUGGGUGUGUUUUGUCUGGGUGUGUUUUCUCUGUUUUGUCUGGGUAUGUUUUCUCUGUUUUGUCUUGGUGUGUUUUCUGUUUUCUCUGGGUGUUUUUUCUGGGUGUGUUUUAAAAGAAAAAAAAAGUCAGACUUUUUAGUCACAGGCUAAGAUUUUGCAAAGACUAGGGCUUACUAUUUGUGAGACUGCAACUAGAUUCUUUCUGAGAUAAUUUUCUCUUCCCUCUUACUUUUUUUUUUUUUUCUUUCAUGGGGUGGUCCAGUUUCAUCAUAUCGUUUUUGAUGGUCUUUUUGACUGCACUGGAGGAUACUUGCUAAUUCUUGAUUCUUUUUUUUCCAUCCAACUGACCCUUAUUUCUUAAAGAUUUUUUUCUUUACUUACUUGAGUCGUUUUUGCCCUAAUAUGAAAAAGAACAUUACUUAAUGCUAUUCACUCUAUACUAAUGCUCCCUCUUCACAACAAAACUGAAGGUCUAUACCAUUAUGGGGAUGACUUAUACAGGUCCUUCUGAAAAAAAAAUUGCAUAUUGUGAUAAAGUUCAUUCUUUUCCAUAAUGAAAUGAUAAUUAAACUUUCAUAUAUUUUAGAUUCAUUGCACACCAACUGAAAUAUUUCAGGUCUUUUAUUGUUUUAAUACUGAUGAUUUUGGCAUACAACCCAUGAAAAUCCAAAAUUCCUAUCUCACAAAAUUAGCAUAUCAUGAA